rnacentral:rRNA from 1 species
CCUCAGAAUGGUUGGAAAUCAUUCGUAGAGUGCAAAGGCAUAAGGGAGCUUGACUGCGAGACCUACAAGUCGAGCAGGGACGAAAGUCGGGCUUAGUGAUCCGGUGGUUCCGCAUGGAAGGGCCAUCGCUCAACGGAUAAAAGCUACCCCGGGGAUAACAGGCUUAUCUCCCCCAAGAGUCCACAUCGACGGGGAGGUUUGGCACCUCGAUGUCGGCUCAUCGCAUCCUGGGGCUGUAGUCGGUCCCAAGGGUUGGGCUGUUCGCCCAUUAAAGCGGUACGCGAGCUGGGUUCAGAACGUCGUGAGACAGUUCGGUCCCUAUCCGUCGUGGGCGUAGGAAAUUUGAGAGGAGCUGUCCUUAGUACGAGAGGACCGGGAUGGACGCACCGCUGGUGUACCAGUUGUUCUGCCAAGGGCAUAGCUGGGUAGCUAUGUGCGGAAGGGAUAAGUGCUGAAAGCAUCUAAGCAUGAAGCCCCCCUCAAGAUGAGAUUUCCCAUAGCGUAAGCUAGUAAGAUCCCUGAAAGAUGAUCAGGUUGAUAGGUUCGAGGUGGAAGCAUGGUGACAUGUGGAGCUGACGAAUACUAAUAGAUCGAGGACUUAACCAUAUAA